rnacentral:rRNA from 1 species
CAAUAGCGUAUAUUAACGUUGUUGCAGUUAAAAAGCUCGUAGUUGGAUUUCUGGAGGGAGCGUCGGCCCGUAUUUACGAGUGCGUGACGUCUCUGUCCAUCCUUGCGGGAAGGCACGGCAUUGAUUUGUUGUGUCGGAUCGCAUCAUUUACUGUGAAAAAAUUAGAGUGUUCAAAGCAGGCUUUCGCUUGAAUACAUUAGCAUGGAAUAAUAAGAUAGGACUUUGGUGCUAUUUUGUUGGUUGAGCCUAAAGUAAUGAUUAAUAGGGAUAGUUGAAAACACCUGUAUUGCGUUGUCAGAGGUGAAAUUCUUGGAUUUACGCAAGACAAACAGCUGCGAAAGCGUCUGCCAAGGAUGUUUUCAUUAA